CAGGUGUCUUUUACCUAUCCAGUGCCCAAGG
rnacentral:piRNA from 1 species